GUGCUUGCUUUGGCAGCAUGCAUACUAAAAUUGGACAGACACAGAGAUUAGCAUGGACUCUGUGCAGAGAAGGCACAAAAAUUCAUGAAGCUUUCUGUAUUUUU
ensembl:snRNA U6 U6 spliceosomal RNA